AGCAGAAAACGAAAGCAUACCGGCUCGGACGUCGCCCGGGUUAACAAGGUCCGCGUCUGCGAGUUAGGCAGAAGCUCACAUUCUGAAAGUUUACUAUGCAGUCUCCCUUGGCCACUGGUGGCAAAAGCAGCACCAACCCAAGUCUGCCUACUGCAAUACAUAUAACCACAGUAAGGAACAGGUCACCACAUCAGAGCCCAACCAGCCAAAGUAUUUCCCAGGCAACUCAGCCAGAGACCACCAAGGCUGGAAAACCACACCAAUGCAUGAAAUGGACAAAAGACAUGAAUGAAUUCAUCAUAUGU
rnacentral:lncRNA from 1 species